GCCCCGGUAGCUCAGUGGAUAGAGCAGCGGCCUUCUAAGCCGUUUGUCGGAGGUUCGACUCCUCUCCGGGGCGCCA
rnacentral:tRNA from 1 species